AUACGUAGGGUGCAAGCGUUAAUCGGAAUUACUGGGCGUAAAGCGUGCGUAGGUGGUUGUUUAAGUCUGUCGUGAAAGCCCUGGGCUCAACCUGGGAAUGGCGAUGGAAACUGGGCGACUAGAGUGUGGCAGAGGGUAGUGGAAUUCCUGGGGUAGCAGUGAAAUGCGUAGAGAUCAGGAGGAACAUCCGUGGCGAAGGCGACUGCCUGGGCCAACACUGACACUGAGGCACGAAAGCGUGGGGAGCAAACAGGAUUAGAUACCCUGGUAGUCCACGCCCUAAACGAUGCGAACUGGAUGUUGGGUGCAAUUUUGCACGCAGUAUCGAAGCUAACGCGUUAAGUUCGCCGCCUGGGGAGUACGGUCGCAAGACUGAAACUCAAAGGAAUUGGCGGGG
rnacentral:rRNA from 1 species